UACGUAGGGGGCAAGCGUUGUCCGGAUUUAUUGGGCGUAAGGAGCGUGUAGGCGGCCAUACAGGUCCGUUGUGAAAACUGGAGGCUUAACCUCCAGACGUCGAUGGAAACCGUAUGGCUAGAGUCCGGAAGAGGAGAGUGGAAUUCCUGGUGUAGCGGUGAAAUGCGCAGAUAUCAGGAAGAACACCCGUGGCGAAGGCGGCUCUCUGGGACGGUACUGACGCCGAGACGCGAAAGCGUGGGGAGCGAACAGG
rnacentral:rRNA from 1 species